rnacentral:misc_RNA from 1 species
UGAUAUGUAUGCCAAGUGUGGUAGCAUAGCAGACUCGUGCAAAGUUUUUACUGAAUUGUCUUGUAAAAAUUUGGUUUCUUGGACCUCUAUGAUGAUUGGAUAUGGGGCUCAUGGAUAUGGAAGAGAGGUUAUUGAGUUGUUUGAUGAUAUGGUUGAAUCAGGUAUCAAACCUGAUCAGAUAGUGUUUAUGGCAGUUUUGAGUGCAUGUAGUCACGCUGGACUAGUAGACCAAGGCUUGAGGUAUUUCAAUUCUAUGAUGGAUGAUUAUAACAUCAAACCAGAUCAUGAGAUUUAUGGGUGUGUUGUGGAUAUGCUGGGCAGAGCUGGGAGAGUUGAGGAGGCCUAUCGACUGAUACAGAGUAUGCCAUUCACACCUAAUGAAUCUGUUUGGGGUGCACUCCUUGGUGCUUGUAAAGCACAUUGCCUUCCAAAUUUGGGCAAGUUGGCAGCUCAGAAAGUAUUGGAUUUGAGGCCACAGUUGGUUGGGACUUAUGUGAUGCUAUCAAAUCUGUAUGCAGCUGAAGGGAAGUGGGGGGAAUUUGCAAGGGUAAGAAAGUUGAUGAAGGGAACGGAAAUAAAAAAAGAGGUUGGAAGGAGUUGGAUUGAGGUAAGAAACGAGGUUUAUAGUUUUGCUGUGAGAGAUAAGGCGGGUCCUCAUAUAGAGUGGGUAUAUGGUGUUUUGGAGUGGUUGAUUCAGCAUAUGAAUGAAGCAGGUUAUGCACCUUUAGAUUGUUUAACUCAUGACCUGGAAGAUGGGACAUGAAUUGAAGUUGAGAACAGCAAAAAUGUAUUUGAAGCUUCCUAGUUUAUUUUCUUAUUGCGGUAUGUGCCAUUAAAUUAAUGUAAACUCAACUCAACUAAGCCUUAAUUCCAAAAUGGUUGGAAUAGGCUAUAUGGAUCUGUUUUAUCUAUCCUACGCGGUUUAGAAAUAUAUCUUCAGGAAGAUCAAGAUCUGUGAAUGACGUGAAAAGAAUGCAAAUUUGAUACUUUCAUAAGGGGAAAUUUUUUCUCGAGAAGCUUAUAUUGUUAUGCUAGCAAGAAGAACAAAUGGUUUACGCCUCUACAGGUAUAAAUAAGAUGUUUGGCAAGGGAACUUCAGCAAUGGGCACUGUUUGUGAAUUUAGCACAUUCUUUUCCAGGAAUAUGUUAAUUUGAACCGCAACCAGGACAGAGAUCAAGAACGUGCCUCCACUAUUUCCACCUUUUCGCUGCAGAAUAUAUAGUCUUCUAAAAGUAGAAAUUCCAUGGAAUAUGUUUCUCUGGUGAAGAAGCAUCUUGGUCGGCUAGGAAGGAAACAGAAAAUGAUGAAGAUGAUGAGGAAG